rnacentral:rRNA from 2 species
GGUUUGGACAUACACCAAAAAGCUGUAGAGAUAUAGCCCCCCUUGUGGUUGGUGUACAGGUGGUGCAUGGCUGUCGUCAGCUCGUGUCGUGAGAUGUUGGGUUAAGUCCCGCAACGAGCGCAACCCUUGUCCUGUAUUGCCAGCGGGUUAUGCCGGGGACUUGCAGGAGACUGCCGGGGUCAACUCGGAGGAAGGUGGGGAUGACCUCAAGUCAUCAUGCCCCUUAUGUCCAGGGCUUCACACAUGCUACAAUGGCUGGUACAGAGGGCUGCAAUACCGUGAGGUGGAGCGAAUCCCUUAAAGCCAGUCUCAGUUCGGAUUGGGGUCUGCAACUCGACCCCAUGAAGUCGGAGUCGCUAGUAAUCGCAGAUCAGCAACGCUGCCGUGAAUACGUUCCCGGGUCUUGUACACACAAAA